UCCCUUUUGUCCUCUCAGCCAUCAGUUUGGGAUUGAAGAGCUCCCCCUUAUCCGACUUGCCUACUGGUCACAAGAAGUCGGAUGGACAUCCUUCAUCCUGCUCCUGUGUGCUGUUUGCCGUAAGGCUGUUAGAAAUCCUAGGACCAUUUCAUCUCAGUCAGUGGAUCUGAAAGAUUUGGUCUGAGGGUUCAGCUCUGCCCAGGCACCUUGAGUGACUGACUGCUGGAGAGAAGAGAUCCAGGCCUGUUGACAGCAGCAUAUCCCCUUGCACUGUUCCUAACUAUUAUGAUGGAGCCCAAGAUUCAUCUAUCCCUGCUCUUUGACACAUUGACCUGGGAAUGGAGCUUGUCCAUAACCUUCUGUAUUCACCAGAGAUAGGAAUGACUGGCAAGCUAGAUGACUCAGAGAUGUCAUGCUUAUCGAACUCCCUAGAGCUUCUAUUCCUUUUCCUUUUAAUAAUUAAUUUAUUUUUUAUGUGCAUUGGUGUUUUGCCUGCAGGUAUGUCCAUGUGAGGGAGCCAGAUCCCCUAGAAUGAAGUUAUAGACAGUUGUGAGCUGCCAUUUGGGUUUUGGGAAUCGAACUCAGGUCCUC